rnacentral:rRNA from 1 species
CUACGGGUGGCUGCAGUGAGGAAUAUUGCACAAUGGGGGGAACCCUGAUGCAGCAACGCCGCGUGGAGGAUGACGCAUUUCGGUGUGUAAACUCCUUUUAUAUGUCAAGAAAAUGACGGUAGCAUAUGAAUAAGCACCGGCUAACUCCGUGCCAGCAGCCGCGGUAAUACGGAGGGUGCAAGCGUUACUCGGAAUCACUGGGCGUAAAGGACGCGUAGGCGGGUUGGAAAGUCAGGUGUGAAAUCCUACAGCUUAACUGUAGAACUGCACUUGAAACUUCUAAUCUAGAGUAUGGGAAGGGGGGAUGGAAUUAGUGGUGUAGGGGUAACAUCCGUAGAUAUCACUAGGAAUACCUAAAGCGAAGGCGAUCUCCUGGAACAUUACUGACGCUAAGGCGUGAAAGCGUGGGGAGCAAACAGGAUUAGAUACCCGAGUAGUC